rnacentral:rRNA from 1 species
GACGAACGCUGGCGGCGUGCUUAACACAUGCAAGUCGAACGGUGAAGCUCCAGCUUUCUGGAGUUGAUCAGUGGCGAACGGGUGAGUAACACAUGAGCAACCUGCCCCUGACUCUGGAAUAAGCGCUGGAAACGGCGGCUAAUACUGGAUACGAGAAGGGUCCGCAUGGGCACUUUCUGGAAAGUUUUUCGGUUGGAGAUGGGCUCGCGGCCUAUCAGCUUGUUGGUGAGGUAAUGGCUCACCAAGGGGACGACGGAUAGCCGGCCUGAGAGGGCGACCGGCCACACUGGGACUGAGGGACGGCGCAGACUCCUACGGUAGGCAGCAGUGGGAAAUAUUGCACAAUGGGCGAAAGCCUGAUGCAGCGACGCCGCGUGAGGGAAGACGGCCUUCGGGUUGUAAACCUCUUUCAGCAGGGAAGAAGCGAAAGUGACGGUACCUGCAGAAGAAGCACCGGCUAACUACGUG